UAAUAAACUAGGGGUUUGUCAUUUUCAGGUAAAUGGAUAAGAUGGCAUGAUCCACGAACUAAAUAAUGUUUGGUUUCCAGAACUACUGGGUCCAUUUUUCAUAGGUCAUUUUGGCUGAUCCUCCAUUGCAUAAAGUUAGUCACCAGAAUUAUUUUUCUUGUAUAUAACUUGUAUUGUAUCUAUUUAUUUCACAUGACUGGUCCCAUUCUACUCAGUGUUGUUCCAUCUCUUCACAUAAUCUCAUUAAUUCAUGCAUUUGUUUGUCUCCGUGCGUAUUUUUACAAGACGAUAUAUAUUCUAAAUUACUGUAUUGUAAGAGAAUUGAAAAAACUGCUCGAUCGACUGACCUAGCUAGUCUUCUUCUUUGUGAGUAUGAAAGAUUAGGAAAUGAAACUAUUUUAUUAUUUACCCAUGAAGAAGAUAUAAGGAGAAAAGCAACAGUGGUAAAAUAUUAAUGGUCGUGAGAAAGUGAGAACUGGUUUGAAAGGGUGAGUACUAUUUUCUUGUCAAACUUUUGUUGUCAUUUGUCAUACUGUGAAUUUGAAUCACAUUUUUAGUCAAUAUUUAGGCAACAGUCAUUUUGAUCAAUAUUCAAACUUAAACAUAAACAUCUUAAUUGUGUUGUUAAACAGUCUGACAAUAAAACGUUUCAACUAAGAAUAAGAGGAUUGAAAUUAGCUAGGGACGAAAACACCUUUUAUUCGAACUUAACAACCAGUUAAUCAAUUGGCCACUUUUAUGAAGUUUGAACUGCUUUUUCUCCGCAAAUUAACAAUAUCUUGUUUCUUUCUACUAAAUGAGGUAUGCUUCUUUUCCAAUCUGCCUUUAUAUAUUAAGGGUUUUUAUGAGGACCAACCAUUACUUAGGCACAAGGGGAUAUACAUGAGGCACUAGUUUAUGCAAUUGCAGCAGCAGCAGCCUCUAUUGGUUGCUGAAAAACGAUUUGCUACAACUACAAGACCUAACUAUCAUUAAAACUAUUCAUUCCACUAUCACAUAUAGCAACUAUUUGAUAAGUUUGGCAUAUAAAUAACCAUAUCCGUAGGAGUUGUGCGCUAAAAAAGACCACAGAUGUGGCACGUUCAUGCACCAAUCAUAAUGUACAACACUCAUUGUGGGGGCUCCUUAAUUGUGUUUGUUUCAAAUUGUACAUGACUUUGCUUUGCCUUUCUCUUCGAGAUAAUCUGUCCUACAAGAAGAUAUAUAAUCUUGUAACUUGAUCAUGUGAUGGUUAUUGUAGAUACAAGAAGAUGUAUCUAUGGCAUAUUGCUUGUACAUCAAGUUUAGAUUCUAUGGUUAAAAAUUCACCACAUUUCUGUCACAGUAACAGGUUUUACGAAUAUGGACGCAGGAGUAGAUGGUAAUUCAAUGGUUACUGCAGUGCUAAAUAAGAAAGACAUUUUAUCAAACAGUUGGAGGACAUGUAUGAAGCCAACUCUAAUCUUCAAAAUGACAGCACCCAAGGUAUCUAUGGAUAUUCACCAAAGUUCAAAAGGUCAGCACCCAAGGUAUCCAUGAACUUAUGUACAUAUACGAUUUCAUGUUUUAGUUUGAAGGGGGAAGGAUGAACUUAUGUACAUAUAAUACAUGCAGACUCGUGUGUAACUAAAUUAGUUAUAAUAAAGUGUUUAUCUUUUUGCACCGUAGUUUGAAUUUUCUUUCUCUAAUUCAUUUGAGAUUAUAAUAUUGCUAAAUUAUAAAAGGAAAUAAUGGCCUUCCAUCAUUGACUAGAAUCAAUCACUGCCUAAUUUGUAAUCUUCGUCUCAAUGCAAAUACCAGUUGAUUGUUCCCGGGAACAAGCCUUCCCCUGAAUGUGUAUUUGUACAAUUAUUCAUUCAAAUCUCUGCAAUUUUUUUAUAAUAUUUUUGUGAUAGGAGGCACGCAUCUGCAUGGAAUUAAACCGUAAUUAAACAGAUAAAGUUAGAUAAAAAGCAAAGAGAGAUGUGUCCCUUUACCUAACACUUAAAUUCAAUGUGCCAGAAAUGGGCAGGGACAGGAGUCCAACCUCUAUGAUUAAGAACCACUGAAAUGAUUCCCCUCUCAUAAAAUCUGGUUCAAUCAGAUUCAAUCCCGAAGAUCCAGGGCCUUGUAAUUUACCAGUUGAAAUCUGUACAGAAACUCAAGAGGAAGACAGAUGAGGAUUGAUGCAUGGGCGCUACAGAUAGACCGUACAACAUGGGGACAAAUUAAACUUGACAUUCUGGAAGCUUCAAGGGUGCCAUGUGAAUAAGAAUAGGACGUCCUACCCUCCUCUCUCUCUCUCUCUCUCUCUCUCUCUCUCUCUCUCUCUCUCUCUGUAUCACAACCCUUCACAAUAAACACGAAGAACCGAUUGCAAAUUAUUUGGGACUUACUUCAAACAUGGUCCUACCCUAGACAUCCAUACCUCUUUGAAACGAAAGUACAGUAUUACUAUUUAUCCAAUACAUCUGUUUUUUUUUU